ACGUGACGGGAGCCGCCGGAUGGGUCGGUCGGUCGGCGGUUGGUAGCAGCAGCUCGAGCGGAGAGUUAAAAAAAAAUCCGGCGGCGGAGGCGACGGCAUCGGUGCCAUGGACAGUCAGGGCAAGAAGGUGGUGGUGUGUGACAACGGCACCGGGUUUGUGAAAUGUGGCUAUGCUGGUUCCAACUUCCCAGAACAUAUCUUUCCGGCCUUGGUUGGCCGACCCAUCAUCCGCUCCACUGCCAAAGUUGGGAAUAUUGAGAUCAAG